rnacentral:rRNA from 1 species
CACGUAGGGGGCGAGCGUUGUCCGGAUUUAUUGGGCGUAAAGAGCUCGUAGGUGGCUCGGUAAGUCGGGUGUGAAAUUUCGAGGCUCAACCUCGAGACGCCACCUGAUACUGCUGUGGCUAGAGUCCGGUAGGGGAGCGUGGAAUUCCUGGUGUAGCGGUGAAAUGCGCAGAUAUCAGGAGGAACACCAGCGGCGAAGGCGGCGCUCUGGGCCGGUACUGACACUGAGGAGCGAAAGCGUGGGGAGCGAACAGG